rnacentral:rRNA from 1 species
UACGUAGGGGGCUAGCGUUGUCCGGAUUUAUUGGGCGUAAAGAGCGUGUAGGCGGCCAGGUAGGUCUGGUGUGAAAACUCGAGGCUUGAACCCUCCGAGAUGUCAUCGGAAACCAUCUGGCUAGAGUCCGGAAGAGGAGAGUGGAAUUCCUGGUGUAGCGGUGAAAUGCGUAGAUAUCUGGAGGAACACCGGUGGCGAAGGCGGCAUCCUGGACCAACACUGACGCUGAGUGAGCGAAAGCCAGGGGAGCGGACAGG